UCCGGUAUGGUGUAUCGGCUAGCAUCCGUCGCUUUCAUGACUCCAGGGUUAUCAGAGUGUCCGACGAGAGCCGGGUUCGACUCCCGGUACCGGAA